CGUCUAGGCUGACUAGCAAGUCAGAAGUGAAAAGUCCGAGCUCAACUGGGGCCUUGCUUUUGAUACUGUUAGACUUGAAUCAGGCUGAGGUUAGCGGAAUGUGACAUGUAGCGGUGAAAUGCAUAGAUAUGUCAUAGAACACCAAUUGCGAAGGCAGCUAACUAGACCUCGAUUGACGCUGAGGCACGAAAGCGUGGGGAGCGAACAGGAUUAGAUACCCUGGUAGUCC
rnacentral:rRNA from 1 species